rnacentral:tRNA from 1 species
GGCGGAGUAGCUCAGUUGGUUAGAGCGCACGGCUCAUACCCGUGUUGUCACUGGUUCGAAUCCAGUCUCCGCUACCA